CCGAUGUGGACAUCCAGGAGACACGUCCCCUGGCUCUGUCCUGGUGGCGUAUGGGAGCGUAGCUCUGAGCUGAGACGUACAGUCCCGUUCCACGACGUCGGACAGAAAGCUGCGUCCCCGGUGAGGACCGGCGUCCUGCAUAUUCCUACACCUUCCCAGAGUCCUUUGGGGCCGUUACUGGGGAGACAAACCAUGCAGGACACAUUG